rnacentral:rRNA from 1 species
UACGGAGGGUGCAAGCGUUGUCCGGAUUUACUGGGCGUAAAGGAUGCGUAGGCGGACAUUUAAGUCAGAGGUGAAAUCCCAGGGCUCAACCUUGGAACUGCCUUUGAAACUCCUGGUCUUGAGGUCGAGAGAGGUGAGUGGAAUUCCGAGUGUAGAGGUGAAAUUCGUAGAUAUUCGGAGGAACACCAGUGGCGAAGGCGGCUCACUGGCUCGAUACUGACGCUGAGGUGCGAAAGCGUGGGGAGCAAACAGG